AUUGAACGCUGGCGGCAGGCUUAACACAUGCAAGUCGAGCGAGCGGCGGACGGGUGAGUAAUGUCUGGGAAAGUGCCUGAUGGAGGGGGAUAACUACUGGAAAGGGUAGCUAAUACCGCAUACCAUCAGAGGUGCCCAGAUGGGAUUAGCUAGUAGGUGGGGUAAGGGCUCACCUAGGCGACGAUCCAUAGCUGGUUUGAGAGGAGGACCAGCCACACUGGGACUGAGACACGGCCCAGACUCCUACGGGAGGCAGCAGUGGGGAAUAUUGCACAAUGGGCGCAAGCCUGAUGCAGCCAUGCCGCGUGUGUGAUGAAGGCCUUCGGGUUGUAAAGCACUUUCGGCGGGGAGGCGUUACUUGCAGAAGAAGCACCGGCUAACUCCGUGCCAGCAGCCGCGGUAAUAC
rnacentral:rRNA from 1 species